rnacentral:ncRNA from 1 species
AACUUAUCAAGAGAGGUGGAGGGACUGGCCCUUUGAAGCCCAGCAACCAGCAUAAUUUAUGCCCGGUGCUAAUUCCAGCAGGUAAAAGACCUGGAAGAUAAGUA